GGGGUUGUAGCUCAGUGGAAGAGCGCUUGCCUAGCAUGUGGGAGGAACUGGGUUCAAUUCUCAGCACCA
rnacentral:tRNA from 1 species